rnacentral:rRNA from 1 species
GGCUUCGGCCCGAGUUGUAAUUUGUAGAGGAUGCUUUUGGCGAGGUGCCUUCUGAGUUCCCUGGAACGGGACGCCAGAGAGGGUGAGAGCCCCGUAUAGUCGGACACCAAGCCUUUGUAAAGCUCCUUCGACGAGUCGAGUAGUUUGGGAAUGCUGCUCAAAAUGGGAGGUAUAUCUCUUCUAAAGCUAAAUAUAGGCCAGAGACCGAUAGCGCACAAGUAGAGUGAUCGAAAGAUGAAAAGCACUUUGAAAAGAGGGUUAAAUAGCACGUGAAAUUGUUGAAAGGGAAGCGCUUGUGACCAGACUUGUGCCGGGCUGAUCAUCCAGUGUUCUCACUGGUGCACUCGACCCGGCUCAGGCCAGCGUCGGUUCUCGUGGGGGGAUAAAAACUUCGGGAACGUGGCUCCUCCGGGAGUGUUAUAGCCCGUUGUU